CCUACGGGUGGCAGCAGUGGGGAAUAUUGGGCAAUGGGCGAAAGCCUGACCCAGCAACGCCGCGUGAAGGAAGAAGGCUUUCGGGUUGUAAACUUCUUUUGACAGGGAAGAGCAGAAGACGGUACCUGUCGAAUAAGCCACGGCUAACUACGUGCCAGCAGCCGAGGUCAUACGUAGGUGGCAAGCGUUGUCCGGAUUUACUGGGUGGAAAGGGCGUGUAGCCGGGCUGACAAGUCAGAUGUGAAAUCCGGGGGCUCAACCCCCGAACUGCAUUUGAAACUGGUGGUCUUGAGUAUCGGAGAGGCAGGCGGAAUUCCUAGUGUAGCGGUGAAAUGCGUAGAUAUUAGGAGGAACACCAGUGGCGAAGGCGGCCUGCUGGACGACAACUGACGGUGAGGCGCGAAAGCGUGGGGAGCAAACAGGAUUAGAUACCCUAGUAGUC
rnacentral:rRNA from 1 species